rnacentral:rRNA from 1 species
UCCUUGGGAUACCACCCUUGUAGUACUGGGACUCUAACCAUAGGCCAUGAAUCUGGUCUUGGGACACUGUCAGGUGGGCAGUUUGACUGGGGCGGUCGCCUCCCAAAAGGUAACGGAGGCGCUCAAAGGUUCUCUCAGUACGGUCGGAAAUCGUACGUAGAGUGUAAAGGCAAAAGAGAGCUUGAUUGCAAGACAUACAGGUCGAGCAAGGAUGAAAAUCGGACUUAGUGAUCCGGUGGUUCUGCGUGGAAGGGCCAUCGCUCAACGGAUAAAAGCUACCCUGGGGAUAACAGGCUUAUCUCCCC